CGCUAACCGGCAAUGCUCUCUGCUAUUCCUCUACUGCUUCAUUACACCGCUAACCGGCAAUGCUCUCUGCUAUUCCUGUACUGCUUCACUACACCGCUAAUCAGCAAUGCUGUCUGCUAUUCCUCUACUGCUUCACUACACCGCUAACCAGCAAUGCUCUCUGCUAUUCCUCUACUGCUUCACUACACCGCUAACCAGCAAUGCUCUCUGCUAUUCCUCUACUGCUUCACUACACCGCUAACCAGCAAUGCUCUCUGCUAUUCCUCUACUGCUUCACUACACCGCUAACCAGCAAUGCUCUCUGCUAUUCCUCUACUGCUUCACUACACCGCUAACCAGCAAUGCUCUCUGCUAUUACUCUACUGCUUCACUACACCGUUAACCAGCAAUGCUCUCUGCUAUUCCUCUA